rnacentral:lncRNA from 1 species
GUUGGAAGCAGGACCCCGAGCUGACCUGUUGACCAGGAGAGGAGUGCUUUUACUCCCCGUCAUCACCACCGCCUGCCAGAGGCAGUAAACUUGGGUCCAGCGGGCCCCUGUCAAGCUGCAUAACCACACAGUGAGAGGCUGUCUAGAGAAAGGCGUUUGUUCAGGAGCAGAGCGUUGCAACGGUAACACGCAUGUCAUAGUAAACUGUGCAUAUUCGAGGAGGCAGAGGAAGAAAGGAAGAGGAAGGUUUUCAAAGAGAAAGCAGCAGUGAGGAUGCCAGAGUUCAUGGGUUUCUAGAAGACAAGUUUUCAACUGCAGAUACAAACAUCAGGACGUCAAUGUAUCUGCUAGGAGACACCCGGACAGUGUUGAGAACACAGAACCUGGAGGCUAAACCCCCAGCUUUCUAUGCCAGCUGAGAGUCUGUGGGCACAUUACUCAGCGUCUCUGAACCUCAUGCUCCUCCCCUGUGACAUGUAGAUUGCUAAACCCAUCUCACAGGGCUAUCUUCUGCAUUUAAAGAAUAAAAUAACACAUGAGGGGUCUAUCAAUGUUUCUGACCUAUUUAUUUAUUGUUAAUCCUUUCUCUACACCGAAUACUCUAACUAACCUUUUGGAUUCUCACUUAAUGAGAAAAAGCAAAAUUAACUUGAGCA